rnacentral:ncRNA from 1 species
GAAGUGCGAACCAAGCGUGCGCCGCCCUAGCGCUGUGAGUCUUGGAGCGGAUAGCCGUAAGGCUGUCCUGCA